rfam:Magnaporthe poae ATCC 64411 unplaced genomic scaffold supercont1.11, whole genome shotgun sequence.
GGCAAGAUGACCGAGCGGUCGAAGGCGCUAACUUCGGGAGGAUCUCGAGAUCUAGAUGGCUUGCUAGUUACGCAAGUGGCGUGGGUUCGAAUCCCACUCUUGUCA